GAUGAACGCUGGCGGCGUGCUUAACACAUGCCAGUCGAACGAAGCACUUUAUUUGAUUUCCUUCGGGACUGAUUAUUUUGUGACUGAGUGGCGGACGGGUGAGUAACGCGUGGGUAACCUGCCUUGUACAGGGGGAUAACAGUUGGAAACGGCUGCUAAUACCGCAUAAGCGCACAGCAUCGCAUGAUGCAGUGUGAAAAACUCCGGUGGUAUAAGAUGGACCCGCGUUGGAUUAGCUAGUUGGUGAGGUAACGGCCCACCAAGGCGACGAUCCAUAGCCGACCGGGGAGGGUAACCGGCACCAUGGGAACUGGGCCACGCCCCAACCUCUACGGGAGGGAGGCGGGGGGAAAUAUUGAACAAUGGCCGAAGCCCUGUGGAGGCGAGGCGGGGUGGGCGAAGAGGUAUUUCGGUAGGUAAAGCUCUAUCAGCAGGGAGGAUAAGGCCGGUACCGGACAAGAAGCGCCGGCUAAAUACGUG
rnacentral:rRNA from 1 species